rnacentral:rRNA from 1 species
UGUUAUAAACCGUAUCUAAAACCGCCACAGGUGGAUUAGCAUGAGUAGUGUAAGGUUUUCGUAGAAUAUUGUAAAAGGUUUAACUAGGCAAAAUUGCUGGGUAACUUCGGGAUAUACAGUACUGUUUUAUAAAACGAAAAGGUUUAUAAAAUGAGUGGCACUAAAGAUGUGGGAGCGACUGUUUAAUAAAAACACAGGACGUUGUAAAACGUGUAAAUCGGAAAAAUAAUGUCUGAAGCCUGCCACGGGUUUGAUAAGGUGAAGGGG